rnacentral:tRNA from 1 species
GGAGACGUGGCUGAGUGGCUGAAAGCGGCGGGUUGCUAACCCGUUAUACGGCCUUAAAACCGUAUCAGAGGUUCGAAUCCUCUCGUCUCCGCCA